rnacentral:rRNA from 1 species
UACAGAGGGUGCAGGCGUUAAUCGGAAUUACUGGGCGUAAAGAGCUCGUAGGCGGUCUGUCGCGUCGAUCGUGAAAGCUUGGGGCUUAACCCUGAGCUUGCGGUCGAUACGGGCAUGACUGGAGUUCGGCAGGGGAGACUGGAAUUCCUGGUGUAGCGGUGAAAUGCGCAGAUAUCAGGAGGAACACCGGUGGCGAAGGCGGGUCUCUGGGCCGAUACUGACGCUGAGGAGCGAAAGCGUGGGGAGCGAACAGG